rnacentral:rRNA from 1 species
GUGGGUAACCUACCCUGUACACACGGAUAACAUACCGAAAGGUAUGCUAAUACGGGAUAAUAUAUUUGAGAGGCAUCUCUUAAAUAUCAAAGGUGAGCCGGUACAGGAUGGACCCGCGUCUGAUUAGCUAGUUGGUAAGGUAACGGCUUACCAAGGCGACGAUCAGUAGCCGACCUGAGAGGGUGAUCGGCCACAUUGGAACUGAGACA